UGGAUCCAGACUUUGAUCAUGGCUCAGGAUGAACGCUAGCUACAGGCUUAACACAUGCAAGUCGAGGGGCAGCAUGGGAUUAGCUUGCUAAUCCUGAUGGCGACCGGCGCGCGGGUGCGUAACGCGUAUCCAACCUGCCCUCUACUCCGGAACAGCCCGUCGGAAGGCGGAUUAAUGCCGGAUGGUGUCACAUGCCCGCAUGAGUGUGUGACUAAAGGCAACGGUAGAGGAUGGGGAUGCGACUGAUUAGCUAGUUGGCGGGGUAACGGCCCACCAAGGCUACGAUCAGUAGGGGUUCUGAGAGGAAGGUCCCCCACAUUGGAACUGAGACACGGUCCAAACUCCUACGGGAGGCAGCAGUGAGGAAUAUUGGUCAAUGGGCGAGAGCCUGAACCAGCCAAGUAGCGUGCGGGAUGACGGCCCUAUGGGUUGUAAACCGCUUUUGAUUGGGAACAAAGAGCGCCACGUGUGGUGCGUUGCGUGUACCCUUCGAAUAAGCAUCGGCUAAUUCCGUGCCAGCAGCCGCGGUAAUACGGAAGAUGCGAGCGUUAUCCGGAUUUAUUGGGUUUAAAGGGAGCGUAGGCGGGCUGUUAAGUCAGCGGUCAAAUGUCAGGGCCCAACCUUGGCAUGCCGUUGAUACUGGCGGCCUUGAGUUCACACAAGGAAGGUGGAAUUCGUCGUGUAGCGGUGAAAUGCUUAGAUAUGACGAAGAACUCCGAUUGCGAAGGCAGCCUUCUGGGGUGUUACUGACGCUGAGGCUCGAAAGUGCGGGAAUCAAACAGGAUUAGAUACCCUGGUAGUCCGCACCGUAAACGAUGAGCGCCCGUCAUUGGCGACACACAGUCAGUGACCAAGGGAAACCGUUAAGCGCUCCACCUGGGGAGUACGCCGGCAACGGUGCAACUCAAAUGAAUUGACGGA
rnacentral:rRNA from 2 species